GGCCCGGGGCCUGGCAGCGGCCCUUACAGACUGGGCUGCAAAGAGCAGAGGCGGCAUUUGGCUCUCCAGCUUCACCUAGUAAAGGCCGUUUAUACCUUGCCGAAAUAAUCUGUAGACGGAAUGAACUCAAAGGUCAGGAAAUAAAAUCUGAGCAGGAAAGUUGGUAACAUUACAGGGGACUGUUGCCAAGAGCUUCGCCUGCCUUCAGAUUCAGCCUGGGGCCCUGCCGUGGGGACCUGGCCAGGGCGGAGGAGGGAGGGGCCGGGGCCGCCUGACCCUCCCGUGCCCGCAGGGGCCCGACCUCGCCCUCUCCCUCCGCCCGGCUCCUCCACGGGGUGCAGGGGCCAGAGCGGCCCUAUUUAAGGCCGGCCUUGGCCUGGAGCUCGCCCCGGCCGGGACCCCGGCCAUGGCGGUGCCACUCAAACGCGACUCGGCGGAGCUGUGUCCCCGCAGGGUCUCGCGGCCCGCGGCUCCAUCCGGGUCCCUGCGUUUCUGCAGACGCCCGCUCGGCCCGGCCCAUGGACCCAGGACUGUUUCCUCGGGGCCGCAGAGACGCAACGGGCCCCGGCCAACUCCGCGUGAGCACCGGGCCUGCGC
rnacentral:lncRNA from 1 species